GUCAGUCCCUAGGUAUCCGCACUGCUCAGGGAAGUGAAAGACGUCGCUUGUCUUCUGGGAGGUAGCUAGCACGAUCUUGAGCUCAGGCUUCCGGAUCUCUCUCGGCUGCUUUUUUCCACUGGUAACUUCUGAGGCUGAGAUCAGGAGGAUUCCCUGGGAGCACCCACCAGCUGAGAUCUGCACAUCAGCCACAAUCCUCUCAGGACGGCGGAAAGGGAAGGGCUCAGCCGCCAGCCUGGCCACAGCCUGCAUCAUCUCAUCCCAGAGGCGGAGCACAGGCUCGGGGUCCUUCAGGGCCUGAAGGUUUGUGGUUGGCACUGUCAGGAUGAUGUUGUCCGUGGCCAGCUCUCCCCAGGGAGCCAGGUUCUCCUGCAUCUGCCUCUUCCACUCCUCCAGCGAUGUCUUACCUGGGAAUAAAUAUCAUGGAACCUACCACACCCACUUCUCCAACUUCCCUUGAGCUGAAAAAUACCAUUUGAACUCUGGAAGAACAUUGCAAUAAUGAACUACUAUCACAGGCGUCUAUAGGCUGUAAAGUGAAGAAAAGGCUUCCUGACUCUUCUCUUUGUCUGCCCUGAAGUCUCCAUGG
rnacentral:lncRNA from 1 species